rnacentral:lncRNA from 1 species
CAGGAUUGUUUCAUUAAGCAAAUAGACGACCUCGUCUUUGCUAUACACAAACUCAUGGGAUGGAAUUUUAAGCAGUUACGAUAUCAUAAUCAGUCAGAGGUUUGACUCUGUUGUUCAGUGAUAGACUCCACUGCUAGAGGCUUCAGGAGCUGCAGGAAAUGACAAGCCUAUCUUUUGGAUUUGUCCUGUUUAUGUUAGGUUUUGCUUGAAGAGGGAAGGAAUGAGUUGUGGUGCAUGCUCUUUCUCAAGGUGUUUACAUGUAGAACAAGACUUCAAGGAGGGGAAAAUAAUGUUCGUUUGGACACUGUAGCUUUUGAUUCUGAAAUUUGGGGUUCUCAUCUAUAAAACAUGAGCAUAAAGAGUGACAAGAUGAGGUGAAAGCUGCAUUGCAAGGUGAAUGAUUUUAUGGAGAAAAGGGGAAGAGUGAAAGAAACUCUUUCGAAGCUAUCCAAUCAAUGAAAAUGGAAUAUAUUACUUAAGAGAUAUGUGAUUUGAAAUGUUGGAAAUCAGAUGAAAGUCCAGUUGGAAGAGAUGAUUUCUGAAUAGAUCCUUAAUGUUUAGAAGAAACUGUUUCUUCCUUGAUUGAGCAGAAAUAUCUUUCCUUAUUUUAUAAACUAUUAGACUAACUAUUUAUGUAACAAAAAAUUGAGUUUAUACCUCUUCCUUCCUUUACCUUCAAUGUAUAUAAAUAACUAUAGCCAUGUGACAUAGUAAAAUGUUCACAUUUUUUUUCUUUACAAUUUGCUACAAAGGAAAUGUUUGAAGGACUUAAGAUGUCCAAAGAUAAAGCCAGCUCAUCA